AAAGUAGAAGUUUCCAAAAUAUUUGACCUGCAAUCAGAAGAAGAUGUAAUUCAUCCUACUUUA
rnacentral:tRNA from 1 species